AGGCUGAAACUCGCCUAUAUGAAGUCGGAAUUGCUAGUAAUCGCGGAUCAGCAUGCCGCGGUGAAUACGUUCCCGGGCCUUGUACACACCGCCCGCCACACCAUGAGAGUCGAUAACACCCGAAGCCUGUAGUCUAACCAUAUGGGGGACGCAGUCGAAGGUGGGAUUGAUAAUUAGGGUGAAGUCGUAACAAGGUAAC
rnacentral:rRNA from 1 species